CGGCGGGCGCUCCGCGCCUUGCGCGGGCCCGCGGAGCUGUCCCUCAGCGCGGCUGCGGAGGGGCGGCGGCAGCACGGGCGCGCUUGCGGCGGAGCCCGGAGGCGGCGCUGACGGGACGGCGCGCGGAGGCGCUGCGGGCCGCGGCGGCCCGGCCGUGCCGAGCCCGGCUUCGCUGAGCCCGGCUUCGCUGAGCCCGGCUUCGCCGAGCCCGGCCCGGCCCGAGGAAGAAGUAGAAGUUUUAACCAUCUUCCCAUGGCAUCUGACUUUUUUGAAGAGGAGGACUUUCAGCCACUUGAUGGAAGGGAAAUAAGAGGUUUGUUUCAAGACUCUUAUGUCACUCAUCAGUUCUGUUAACAAACGUGGCGCUUGAUGCAUUUGCUGCUUCUUUGCAUUUUUGCUGAAGAUUGCACCCAAGAGAGAAGUAGUGAAAUCCACAGUGGGGAAAAUGAGCCCGGCAGUCCAUCCUGUCCUGUACCUACCAGAAUAUGGGAAGAGACCUAGUACAAAGCCAGAGUGCAGCUGGGCUUACAGUCUUUUUAACCAUAUUAAGUCCUGUUCACAGUUAAUGAUGAGCUCAGUGAGAUGGUCUCAGCAAUGCUGAAGAAGGGAAGGAUAAAAUUGGAAGGCAGGAGCUAUUUCAAAGCAGGAUUCUUCAUCUUUCUGUAAUGCCCAAACAUGAAGACUUUAUAAACUUCAUUAGAUCCUGCCAUCAAUGACUGAGCUUCCCUGAAAUCUUCUUAUCAGUUACUGCCAAGAUGAGGAGGAUAACAGGAAGGAAGAGUUCUUAAGUGGCUUUAAUGACAGUUAAUUUCAUCUAUUUAUCAAAUGACAGGUUGUUUUUUCCUCAAAACUCGAUUGUCAUGACAAGAUGCUUUUGGAAGUAAUUUUUGUAAAAUAAAACUGACAAUUUUUAGGCUACAAAGAGCUAUUAUGUCUUUCUAUAGAAUGUUGUCAUUAUGGCAAACUGCUGGAAAUUCUUUAUUUUUUAAGUAAUUUGAUUUGCAUAUUUUGUUAAUUUAUUUGAAUGUCUGUUGAAUGCCAUUUGAAAAGUUUCUUCCUAGAGUUCUUUUAUUCAAUGGAGUAGUUAUUGUAACAAUGCUCAAUUUAUUAUUGUCUAAAUUACUGUUGCCCUAGCCUCCUGCAAAAAUGUUUCUUUUUAGUAAUUCUUAAACAAAUAAGAAAUGAAUGAGGUUUUGUCCCCUUUGUGUUUUGACCAGCAUAAUUUGUCUUUAAGUGAAAGUGUCUUCAGUUUUUGGAAUGACACAACACAAAGAAAGGUGUUUUGGUUUUUGGGGGUUUUUUCCCAACAGCACAUGUCUUUUGUUCAAUGAUUUUUUAAUAUGUACAUUGCCAAGAUACAGUUACUGGAAGGAGAGAGAGAAGCUGUUGGGAAUGUCAUGUUAUGCCAAAUUAAGAAUUAUUAGCUCUUAGUUUCUGUGCAAUCUCUUCGACUAGAACUCGACCUAUUGCGUCUGGCAUAUACUUUGACUCUAGUGGAACUAAUGUGUCCUUGGAGUAGCAUUUCAGAGUAACUUCAGAUUCAUGGUUUUUUCACAAGUCUGCUUUAAACUGCUGGGAUUAACUUCAGAGAAGGCGAGAGAUACAGGCUCCUUUGUCAGCAGCUGUGCUGGGUAGAGAAGGAGGCUUCAUGCACUCUUGCUUGCUCGUUCUCUCCCUGCUGGGGAAGCAAACUGAGCUGUUUCCCUGAGCACACCCAGACUUGCUUCAGCCAGAGUUAAUGGUGUUAUCAAAUACUAGUUAUCCAGCACCCUGGGUCACGUUGGUGAAAGGACAGGGCAUGCACAGACCAGCUUUGCAGAUGUCAUGUCUGGGAAGGGUGGUGUGUUGACAAGAGUGUUGCUGAGGACUGGCCCUGGUGUGUUGCAGUUUCAGCAGGUGCAGUUACAUCUCUGGGAUGUGGUAGAAAUUGGAUGUGUUAGAAAGCUGUGCGGAUCUGUCAUGCGUAAUAUUCACAUUCCAGGGACAUCCUGGAAAUUGCAAAAUAAACCUGUGCUCUUUGACUUACUCCUUGUGUGUGCCAGUGUGAGGGGAGAGAACUGGUGUGUGUGUACAUGGCAGACACCUAUUUCAGGAAAAUGUAUCUAGUCACAAUGUGGGAAUGGUACAAGUGUUUCCAUUAUCUAGAGAACACACUUUUUACUUUACUCACCAAAGAGGCUGCCUCAGCCACCACAUGCCUCAGGAGAACUGCUUUUGACACAUGAGAGCUACCUUGAGUGGAGAAGGGGGAGCAGCUCUAGCAGGAGUGGCUGCUGUUGCUUCUCUACAGUGUUGAAUCAGUACAUGCUGGAGUCUAGUGAGGCAUCCAAGCUCUUGAUAUUCCCUGUGCCAAAGUUAGAAUGGUAUGGCUAGUCUUUAGUACUCAAAGACAUACUGAGAAAAAGCAAAUGAGCAACUCCUUCAACACUGUAGGUGCCUUCCUGGAGCUGGCUUGGGCAUACAAAGAACAAGAGGCUUUCUGAUCUGUCUGAAACCUGAGAGCAGCAGCACUGCUUGCAUCUCCUCUGGGGGCACUGCCAGGUGAAGAGCACAGUCACAGAAAGGACUGAGCCUCCAGCUCAGGUUGUGUCAUCCAUUAUCUUCUAUUUGUCCUUAAGGUAAAGGAUGAGGAAUAUGCAGUGGCCAUACUGUACAUAUGGAAGGGAGGAAAAUAAUGUGCCAUGUCUGUAAGGAAGGGGCAGGUGUGGCUCCAGCUGUGGGAGCUGUGCCCCAUUCCAGCAGCCAGGGUUGAGCCAUGGCUGAGCUCUCAGUGCUGGGUUCAGGAUUGAUGUGCCUCCCUCAAACGACUCACUUGUCUCCCCUGACCAUGAACUAAGUGCAAAUGAGCCUCCACAGCUCUCUGAGACAGCCCAUAAUUCAUACAACUCUUUUUAUCUUCAAAUGGACUAUUGUAGUACCGAGAAUGAGAUGUUUAAUAAAAUACUUGUGAUUACCUAGGAAUCUAUCUACCUGCCUAAGUGGUAGUACACAGUAAAACCAGAACUGCAAAAUAACAUCUUACAUAGAGCACUGUCAUGGAUGUUAAGCUGAUGAGUAAAAUUUUGCAUCCAAGUGCUAAAAAGACAACAAAAUAAAACUCCAGGGAAGGCAGGUUUUCCUCUUAUAAAUAUUCCAAAUAAUAGGCUGGUUUCAAGUAGACUUCCUGGCUCUUUGGUGAUUGCUGCAUUCAGUCUGAAUCUCUCAGGAAUCCCAAUCAUAAUGGUGUGUUUAUUAUUAUAAACACAUGAUUUCUAUAUAUGUUCUCCACAAAUAUGUCAGACAAAACAGAGUUUAACUUCUUAACUAGCACUAUAUGGUUAUUUUCUAACUCCUUUAAUUUCAGUUCUGACUUGACUGAAUAAAAGGUGCAUUCCUGAAAAUAAUCUUUACAUCUGUAAGGUGACACUUGACUUCAUAUGACUGUUUGCAUACUGCAGACAUAGCACAGCAUUUUUGAAGCAAUAUGUGUUGACAAUACACAGAGAUAAAAAUCAGUUUAUGACAAACUAAGGAGCAAACUUUUAAUAAGACUGAUGAAUCAGUAGAAAUUAUUAGAAAGGGAAUGUUAGAUUUUCUAUCAUUUGAAUGAGGAUGAAAUAUUUUUAUAGAGGUAUAUGCUAGAACAAAUGGCUGGGUGUGGUAGAAGAAUUCCUCACAGUCUUCUGUGGCUUUUGCAACUCCUGGGGUCAGACUGGGUCACUGUAGACAUCCUUGGGAGUGAGAAAUCUCAGUGUAGCAAAUAUCUGUAGAAUAGCAGCUUCCACUGAAAAGUUACUCAAAGUUAAUUAAGCUUAUCUUCAAAAAAGGAUUGGGAGGGGAUUUGGGCAUGUUCCUGUUGCCUAGUGCCAUGCCUUUUUCAAAGAUCCUCUUUCACCUGAGCACUUGCUCCUGUAGAGCAAGGUGGCUUAGGUGGGUUUCUCUGGUUCAUCCAUCCUCCCUCCCUCCAUCCACAUGAAUUAAACAGCACAUGAGCAUCUUUUUCCAGAGCAAAUGUCUUCUACAAAGUGUCGACUUCUACAAAGUGUAAUAUUGCCCUUCUGCUAGAGAUAAUUAUUAGGUUGAAAAUAAUCUGACAACAUCCUGCUGUGGAUAAAUUAGGUUUGUUCUCUACUAAGAUUAGUUAACUGGCACCCAUUCACUAACACAUUACAAGAAAAUGAUUGCAAGCUGAUUGUAUCCAGUUAUCUGCCUUUUUUAUUUUUAAGGGGCUUUUGUUGCCAUGCUGUUGCCAAAUGCGUGCAAAUCAUACUUUUCCAAGUAUCCUACAGCCUGGGGAGAUGGUGCUUGCUGUCCUGUACCAUGAAAAGACUUGUGGGCAGAAGUGUUUGGAGAAGGGGAGGGGUUGUCUCCAUGCAGAUUUCUGAAUCAUGUGCACCUUUGAUUUUGGCCAACAGGGGUGUGUUCUGCUCUAUGGCAAUCAAUACAUUACCACCAAAGUCCAAAAUGCCAGGUAUAAUUAGCUCAUAUGUUUAAAUAAGUGUUGUUAUUUUUAAGCUUGUAUAUGCAAGCCUGUUUUCAUACAGAAGUAAAUAUUUUACUUGGGAAGAAUGCUGUGCAAAUCAGAAAAAGCAGAAAAAUUGUUUAAAGUUAUGUACUACUGUUUAAGAUUUUAAAAAUAACUGUGAGAUCUUUAUUUCUUUGUUUACGAUUGAUUAGGGUUAGAGUUUUAGAAGCUUAAUGCUGACUCUAAGUGCUUUACAGUCAGUCACUGAGAAAUAUGGACUUGGCACAACUCACUUUUCUGUCCUUCAGUAUAUCCAUUAUUGUUAGAUGCUGAGUGGUCAUUGCACAUAAAUGACUGGUUUUUGGGUAUUUUACAUUUUUACAUGUUCGGAAAAAUACUUUGUCAAAGCAGCUGCUGGGUGAAUGUAGUAAUUAAAGAACUGUACUGCUUUUAUUGAAUCUGACAUAUGCUGCACAUUCCUUAAAACUCAGUAUGUGAGCAGAAUGUUUCCAGGAUUUAUUGAUGGCAGACGUCUAGAGAUACUGGGGAGCUUUUAAUAGUAGUAAAGAUAACUUGCAAGUUUUAUGCUGUUAUAUAAAUCUGUCUUUAAGAAGAGAGCUGUUAUUGCAAUACAUUGCUCAUGUUCUCCAUAUUUUGUCUGUGUGUAUGUUUUAUGUAUGUACUUGUACACCUACACACAAAUGCUUGACCUGAGCACUUUUAUUUGACAGUGAUUUUAUAUUCUAUUUAGUAUUUAUUUGGGAAAAAAAUAGUGUUCUAAUGCUGACUGAGAAUAUCAAUUUGCUUGGUACCAAAAGUAAUCUGCAGUAUAGUGUGGGGGUUUAAAAUUUGUUUUUUUUUUAUUUAAACUGAAAUACAGCCCUGCUUAGUUUGAAUUACAGCUCUUAUGGUGUGAGUGUCAUGGUAGCAAGCAAGGAAUCUUACUCAGCAUAAACUGAGGCUGGGUUUCAGUUUAACUAGUGUGAUGAGUGCAAUGUUCCACAUGUGUGAUACUUUUGCAAGUUCUGAAAAAAUAGACUUGUUUACCUAUCAUCCCUAUUUUGUAUAAUUUCAGAACAGAAUGUUGUCAUUGCUGUUAAAUUACUUGGCUAAAACUAGCAAACUUUCACCUGUAUAUUUUGUAAAGUUUAGACCUUAAGCACUUUUCAAGCAGGAAGUUUGACUUAUCAUUGUUGCACACUGUAAAAUAAAAUACAAUAUUAAAAUA